rnacentral:rRNA from 1 species
UACGUAGGGCGCAAGCGUUGUCCGGAAUUAUUGGGCGUAAAGAGCUCGUAGGCGGUUUGUCGCGUCUGCUGUGAAAACCAUAACGGCUCAACCUUGGGCUUGCAGUGGGUACGGGCAGACUAGAGUGCGGUAGGGGUGGACUGGAAGUUCCUGGUGUAGCGGUGAAAUGCGCAGAUAUCAGGAGGAACACCGGUGGCGAAGGCGGGUCUCUGGGCCGAAACUGACGCUGGAGGAGCGGAAAGCGUGGGGAGCAAACAG